rnacentral:rRNA from 1 species
AUUGAACGCUGGCGGAAUGCUUUACACAUGCAAGUCGAACGGCAGCACGGGGGCAACCCUGGUGGCGAGUGGCGAACGGGUGAGUAAUACAUCGGAACGUGCCCAGUCGUGGGGGAUAACGUAGCGAAAGUUACGCUAAUACCGCAUACGAUCUACGGAGGAAAGCGGGGGACCGUAAGGCCUCGCGCGAUUGGAGCGGCCGAUGUCAGAUUAGGUAGUUGGUGAGGUAAAGGCUCACCAAGCCGACGAUCUGUAGCUGGUCUGAGAGGACGACCAGCCACAUUGGGACUGGGACACGGCCCAGACUCCUACGGGAGGCAGCAGUGGGGAAUUUUGGACAAUGGGCGCAAGCCUGAUCCAGCCAUUCCGCGUGCAGGACGAAGGCCUUCGGGUUGUAAACUGCUUUUGUACGGAACGAAAAGGCUCUGGUUAAUACCUGGGGCUCAUGACGGUACCGUAAGAAUAAGCACCGGCUAACUACGUGCCAGCCGCCGCCGUAA